UUUAGAGGAAGUACAAGUCAUAACAAGGUUUCUGUAGGUGAACCUGCAGAAGGAUCAUUA
rnacentral:rRNA from 1 species